rnacentral:rRNA from 1 species
UCCGAAGGGGGCUAGCGUUGUUCGGAAUUACUGGGCGUAAAGAGCGUGUAGGCGGAUUAGCAAGUCAGAGGUGAAAGCCCAGGGCCUAACCUUGGAACUGCCUUUGAAACUGCUAGUCUCGAGACUCGGAGGGGGAAGUGGAAUUCCUAAUGUAGGGGUGAAAUCCGUAGAUAUUAGGAGGAACACCUGUGGCGAAGGCGGCUUCCUGGACGAGUACUGACGCUGAGACGCGAAAGCGUGGGGAUCAAACAGG